CAAGGAAUUUUCCGCAAUGGGGGAAACCCUGACGGAGCAACGCCGCGUGCGGGAUGACGCUUUUUCGGAGUGUAAACCGCUUUUCUUGGGGGACGAUGGAGGACGGUACCCGAGGAUAAGGCCCGGCUAACUACGUGCCAGCAGCCGCGGUAAUACGUAGGGGCCGAGCGUUGUCCGGAGUUAUUGGGCGUAAAGCGCGCGCAGGCGGCUUCGCGCGUCCGACGUGAAAGCCCCCGGCUUAACCGGGGAGGGUCGUUGGGUACGGCGGAGCUUGAGGGCGGGAGAGGGUGGUGGAAUUCCCGGUGUAGUGGUGAAAUGCGUAGAGAUCGGGAGGAACACCUGUGGCGAAGGCGGCCACCUGGGCCGACCCUGACGCUGAGGCGCGAAGGCGUGGGGAGCGAACGGGAUUAGAUACCCCGGUAGUCCACGCAGUAAACGAUGCAGACUAGGCGUAGGUGGACUUGACCCCAUCUGUGCCGGAGCUAACGCGGUAAGUCUGCCG
rnacentral:rRNA from 1 species